rnacentral:lncRNA from 1 species
UUAAAGCAAGGGCUUGAAGAUUAUAAUUUUUCUUCUGUGUGGAAGUUAGGGAGUUGACAUUCUGAGAACAAGAUAAAAUGCAGUUCAAUCUUAAGUCAGAAGAAGAAGAAGAGGGAGGAGGGAGGUGUUCCCAAUGGCAUAAAUCCAACUGAAAGAAGCAAAAGGACAGAAGAUUCAAGCUUGGACUUAUUGGAAAGAGUAAAGGCUAUCUAACCUCCUGGCUUCAAACACCAGACCUAAGGAGAAGUUGUAGAUCUGUACUUAAUACAGAUGCAAGGAUAUAUCUGUAUGCUAGCUCUGGAACACUAGCUCUGGAAAUUACAAAUGACUUCAGGUGAGACAUAAAAUAAUCCAUUGUUUCGCAUCUCUGUUACUAAU